GUCAUUUAAGACUUAUAUUGUAUUACUGAAAUGUGUUGGCUAAGAGCUUAGCAUUAUAUUUCAAAAAUUCAGAAAGCAAAGUAAAAAUUAAAAUGUCAACGGCUACAGAACCUCGAACAAUUAAACAAGGCACUUCUAAGAAGUUGCGAUUAUUAAUCUGCAAAAAUAUAAGUGUGCAUUUAGCUCAUCCGGUUGGCAUAGCAUGCAUAACUUUAUUACCCAUUUUUGCCUUCAUGUACACUCAGCUCGACCAAGUCAUCAAUAUUCACACUCCAAUAUCUGUUGAUGAACGGAAGUUUGGACUACUUGAUAUAACGAUGGUCAGAGUAUCUUCAAUAUUUUAUUCCCCGUUCAACAAAAUCCUUGACGAAGUCAUUGAAGACAUGGCAGAUAGUUUGGGCACGACCGUUAUUGAAUCUUUUCCAUACGCAUCUGAUAUGGAGACAGCACUUCAGCAGAGAGAUGGAUUUGUGGGCAUAGAGUUCGAAGAUAAGCUUGUAGCCAUUGACAAAUUGCCAUCGGAAUUAAAUGUCGCACUCCGAUUUCCAAAACAUUUUCGCUCAAAGAAAAGCACAAUGAGAAGUUGGCCUGACACUUUAUUCUCGAGAUCCCGUGAAGCCUCCGAGACUACCCCCUAUGAAUACGAAGGCUAUCUAGUUGUGGAGACGAAACUAUUCGAGGCAUUGCAACUGGGGCAGAAUCAUUCACACAUUACUCCUCAAAUAAACGUGCGGGCCUUCCCUGAACGCAUGUACAUGGAUUUUUCCUAUUUGGGACCUUUAUACUCUAAGUUUUCAGUGUACUUUAGUUUCAUUUAUAUGGCUCCCUGCUUGAUUGUUGGUCAGCAAAUUGUUGCGGAGAAGCAGCGACAGCUGAGGGAGAUAAUGCGCAUUAUGGGCCUGACUGUUACACUGAACUGGAUAUCAUGGUUUAUAGUCGCCUAUUUACUAUAUUUUAUUCCGACGGUAGUCGUCGUUUGUGUGAUGAAGUGGUGCAUGUGUCCCGCAUCCAAUUUUCUUGUGCUAAUGUUAAUCUUUAUCGUGUUUAUACUCACGUUGGUCUGUUUCACGUUUAUGAUCACCGCCUUUGUGACUAGCACCCUGAUGUCGAUGACCGCGCUGUUUCUGAUGCAGUUUAUUAGCUUCUUGCCAUAUCUAAUAAUAGGAAUCCAGCACAAGAAUAUUCAGACCCUAGUUGUGUGUAUGUUUAUGAACAGCGCAAUGCCCAGCAUGUUUUCCCAGAUAUAUAGCUACGAGCUUCGGGGAGUAGGCUUGCAGUGGAGUAACAUUUUUAAGCACAGUCAUCCCGAUGAUCAAGUGAGCAUUGGCACCAUACUGAUGAUCAUGUUGUUCACUAACAUAUUGCGGAUCUUGGUCGCAAUUUAUGUGGAUCAACUGAAUCCUGGUGACUUCGGUGUGGCCAAGAAAUGGUAUUUUCCAUGCCAACGCACGUUCUGGUGCCCAUGGAAAAGACCUGAGCGUCGCUUUGUCGAUGAAGAGCAGCCAUUGCAGCAAUCCAUGUCAAGCAGAGCUCAACUCAACGAAUCCGAUUUGAUGCGCCAUAAAAAUGUCAUUAUAGAGGCACAUAACUUGUCAAAGACCUACGGCGAGCACGAGGUGGUGCACGACUUUAGCCUCAAGUUUUAUGAGAAUGAGUUAACCAUGCUGAUCGGCCACAAUGGAUCGGGCAAGACGACAACUUUCAUGAUGCUGGCAGGCGUAUUGGCGCCCACAUCCGGCAACAUAAGCAUAAAUGGCAUCGACAUGGCCGAAGCCAUACAAAAGGGUCAACGCUCGUUCAGCAUUUGCCCGCAAUAUAAUAUACUUUUCGACGAGCUCAGCGCAUAUUGGCAUCUUGUGUUUUAUAGCCGCCUAAAGGGGUACGAACGGGACGCGGCUGAGGCGGAGGCCGAAAGAUAUCUAACUGUAAUGGACCUCUUGGAUAAGGCAACAAUUAGAGUCGAAUAUCUUACCACUAGCAUGAGACGCAAACUCUCCGUAUGCUGCGCGCUGUGCGGCAACACCAAGGUGGUGGUAUGCGAUGAGCCGACCGCUUGCCUCGAUCCGUUCACGCGUCGUGAAGUCUGGAAGCUGCUGCGCAUGGAGAAGGCAGGACGCUGCAUACUGAUGAGCACGCACUUCAUGGAGGCCGCGGAAUUCUUAGCCGAUCGAAUUGCCAUCAUGCGUGACGGCGAGCUGUUUACUUACGGCACGGCGGAAUCUAUCAUUAAUAGUCUGGGUCCCGGGUAUCGUCUUGUCUGCAUAGGCGAUGAAGACUGCAAUGUGGACGAGGUCACAGAGUUUAUUGAGAGUAAAAUUUCAAAUGCGGAGCUGGAGAGCUCAAUAGGCUUCGAGUUGACGUAUCGCCUGUCCGCUCAGCAAGUACACAAGUUCACCAAUCUAUUCAAGGGCCUGGAGACUAACAUGUACAAGCUCAAGCUGUCCAGCUUUGGUGUGAUUGCACCAACGUUGGGCGAGACCUUCCUGAAGAUUAGUGGCAACAGUCUUUCACAGAAACACACGGAAGCUUCCUUGGAAAAGUUGCAAAAGUGGGUGGGCAACCCGGUGGACAGCCAGGAGUUGAGAUAUUCGAAGAAACAGCUGAAUGAGUGGCAGGCACAGCUUUUGAAGAAGUUUCGUUACGUGUGGAAUCAUUUCCUGUUAUAUAUAUUAAUUAUUUUGGUUCCAUUAUUCGGAUUGUUGAUUCUGAAAAUCAUGAAAUUGGUUUACAAGCAACAUAACCUAGUUGAGAUUGAUCCCACGGAUCUGUCCGUCUAUCAAAACGCCAUAGUCGUUAGGGAGCUGCUAUUGCCAGUCGACGAAGAUCCACUAGAUACCUAUAAUAUUAAUAACAAAGGGAUUGCCAACCAAUAUGAGAAAAUAGCCAUGAAUGCCGGCGCCACAGUGACUACGCUCGAGUCCGAAGGCAUUGUCCAAUACUUAUUGAACAACAGUUAUGUAGAUGUAGAGGGCUUUACGGAAACAUAUGUUGCAGCUGUGACAGUUUCCGACACGAUUACGAUGUGGUACAAUCGACGCUUGAACCAUGGCGCAGCUCUGUCUCACGGCUUAAUCCUAAAAGCAAUCGCAGAAUAUACGUCGGGUUUGAAAAUUACAUUUAGAAAUAAGCCUCGUGCGGAUUCCGAUUUGGCCGUUUUAAUCGAACAAAGCAAUCUUGUUGCUGUCAUAGACACCGCUUGUCUGAUGGCCUUUCUGACCUUCGCGGUCUCAGCAUUUGUCCUGCUGCCCGUCUACGAGAAUAUAUCGGACUUGAGGCAUGUCCAGCUCAUGAAUGGCCUUAGCCUGUGGACCUAUUGGCUGGCGCAGUUGGUUGGUGACAUGCUCAUAUUUAUGCUGAUCAUAGUGUCAGUGCUUCUGUCAUGGUAUCAAAGCUCAGCAAAUGUGCUAAUCUGGUUGGGAGUCCUUCUGUUCUUCUUCGCUAUCUCCGCACUGAUUUCCACCUACCUGCUAUCAUUUUUAUUCAAGGACCCGGGCGCUGGAAUGGCCUACGUGCUAGCUAUCAAUUGCUGUGUCGUGCUCUUGGCUGUCUUCGCCAUGCCGCUGAAAGAUGACCAUGUUUAUAAAUAUUUGCAUGUAAUAUUCCUGAUCCUGCCAUUUUAUGCCAUGUACGGGGCUGUACUCUUAAUAUCCACCAACAGCGGCACAAGCACCCCAUGCGCCCAGGUCAACAUGAAGGCCUUUUGUCAACUCCACCACAUGUGCUGCGACUUAGCUGAACUGAAUACAUACAAAUACCUGCUCUCCCUGUUUAUAAGUGGCAUGUUCGGCUUCGCACUCCUGUUGCUGGCAUCGAGAGUACUUCACCUGCGAUAUGCAAUCAAGCGUCGACCCAAGGAAUGUAUGCUGAAUGACAGAGAUGGUAAUGUGCACUUAGCACGCAUGGAGAUCGACGCGAUCGUCAAAGAUCCAGAUGAACUGAAGGCAUGUAGUGUAGUGUGUCGCCGAAUCUCAAAAUUGUAUCGUCGCUAUGUGGCCGUCAAUUGCGUGUCCCUGAAGGUCAAUUCCUAUGAAUGUUUCGGCUUGGUGGGCCCGAACGGAGCCGGCAAGACGACCACUUUAAGUAUGAUCAUUGGCUCACGACUAAUAUCUGAUGGCGACAUUUUUAUUAAGGGAAACAGUAUGAAAAAUAUGACCAUAGGAGGCUUACCGAACAUUGGCUUCUGUCCGCAAAAGAACAUCUUGUUGCCCUAUAUGACCGGCAGGGAUGUGCUGAAAUUUACCGGCCUGACAUGUGGCAUUAAAAAGAUUUGCAUUCCAACCAUUAUCGCCCAUUUGGCGGAGAGCUUUGAGCUCACCAAGGUGCUCGAUCUGAAGACCAAGCACUACAGUGUGGGCACCAAAAGGAAACUAAAUAUCGCCAUGGCCGUGAUGGGCCAUAACUUCGUCUGUCUCGACGAGCCCACCACCGGCGUGGAUAUUAGCGCAAAGCAGGAGAUUUGGCUGGUGCUCAGCGAUAUGCGCGCGAUGGGCUGCACCCUGCUGCUCACCACGCACAACAUGCAGGAGUGCGAGGCGGUAUGCUCCUGCGUGGGUCUCAUGGUCAAUGGAACCCUGCAGUACUACGGCUCGAUACAACGUCUAAAGCAGGACUAUGGUAAGGGCAUCACCAUCCGGAUCCAACUGGCGACCUCCGCGGAACUGAUGACAUUAGAAUCUGAGACGAGCUCCUUGGACGAUUUUUCAGAAGUGCCAAGCGAAAGAAUUGUAGCUACAUUUUCCCGCAGUGGCAAUACUUCAGAUACUGGCCUAAGCAAGAGUUCUGAUGAAAGAUGGAUAUCCAGAAUGACUAUGAUAUCUCAGGAGGAUAACAACACGAAAGGAACGCAGACUUAUAAAAAACGAAACAACAAAUCGAAUUUAACUGCGACCUCAACGCCGUUAGGCUCGAGAACAUCAAAUUACAAAGGUAAAUCAUCCCUAUUUUCGAAGACCUUUGAAAAUGACUCUCCUUUAAGUGAAUUCAAUGAAUUUGAAGAAAUGAUGAAAAUAAUUGAAACAACAUUCAAGACUGAUUAUCCAGACAGCUACGUCGUAGAGAGAUUCACCUAUCGUGGCUUUAUAGUUAUAGUGAUACCCGACAAAAACAUAAAGUGGUCCACGAUAUUUAGAUACGUUGAACAGAAGCGCAGAUUGUUGCAAAUAAAGCAUUAUUCGAUCAGCGAGACAUCGCUCGAGGAUAUCUUUAUGGAUUUCGCAAAGAUGCAAGAAUCCGACUAAGUCUUGCCUGCUGCACGUGCUAUGUUCUCAACUAAAAGACAGUGAAGACCAUUGACCCUAUAUUUCUAUACUUCGCCAUGGGAAUAGUGCUAUUGUUAUGGAGCCAAUUUCGACUUUGGCCCCACGUUUCGCAUUAACGCUGUCUCUUCUUUUGCUUUAUAAAUAUGUAUGUCAACACAGAAUUUCGGUACUUUGAACUCUGUGGCAUGACUAAAACUUUCCACACACAUUCACUGACGCUGCUCUCUGGCUGUGUGGGUCUCCGCGUGAGCAGAGACUUCGAUUUAUGGGCUAGAUCAAUUAGAGCUUGUCGAAGUCAAUUUAGAAAUACUUUUUGUUGUCUCUAAACAAGACCAUUUCAAUGUUAACCCUUUGCCCUGCAAUUCCAAGCAAUUAGCGUUUAUAUCGCACUUUGCACUCGAUGUAUGCAUGACGUUAGAGGAGCUGGCAUGUUGAUAUGGAAAAGCGUAUAAAAAUUAUGAAAUUGUCCAUUCAUUUGAAAUCAUAGGAAAGUGCCUCGCGCAACCUUACUGAUUGCGUAAAAUUAGCUUAUCAAUUUUCGUACGUAUCAAAUUGAUAGUCUAUAUAGUAU